rnacentral:tRNA from 1 species
GCAGUUAUGCUCGAUGAAACCUGCCCCUGGCCGCCCUCUCACGGCGGAAACCCGGGUUCGAAUCCCGGUAGCGGUA